rnacentral:lncRNA from 1 species
CAUGUAGACCCAUUGUAGUGUCAAAAUAAGCGUGUUAAUGAAUUGUGCAAGCAUAAAGACUGCUCCCUUAUAUUGCGUCGGUAGGAAUGGUGUCACGCUUCGACUUGCCGGCAGAUAUCGAGCAUGCAGCGGUGGCCUCGUCUUCGUCCGAAUUUCCGACUUCUAGGAUUUCCCUAACGUUUCUGUUUCUUUCCGGGCUACGGAAAAGGGAUUUCCUUUCAACUCCUGGCUCCCGCUUUUGUGACGUCUCUUUCACCCUUUGAGACGGUAGUAGAAAAAGCGAUAACUCCGGACACGUUUAAGGGCGUGUGCGAGUUCUGAUCCAUCAACAAAUUGGUGGGUCUUGGGAAAGUUUGUGGUUUCGAAACAGCUGCCAUGGCCAUGUAUUUUCUCAUUUCGUUUCGUCCGGUUUACCCCAGCACGCGUCUCGUAACGUGUGUGUACGGCCUGGACGCUAGUGUACCGGUUGCUGCUCUCGCGGCACGGACACGUUAGUACAAAACGGAUCCUUUUCUGGUGCCAGCGGUGCCCGGACAAAUUUAGAAGCGAUUAAUUGUUAAAUUCGUCUUCCCUUCUCGUUGUGCUUUCAUUCGGUAGCGAGAUUAUCGGAGGACAUUGCACCUCUAGCUACGAGUGGACCACAUGACUGGAUUCCCGCGGCGUCCUGUUUUUAUGCGAGCGUUACGCAUUGUUCGUUACCCUCGUCUCUCGCAAUGAAAUGCAAUACGUCGUGGUUAUCUUUCGUAUUCCAUCUCAAGAAUUCUUUGGUACGAGAAAUCCGUUGCCACCCGUUUCUGAGCAGCACCGAACCGGCGUCGUGGCACCGACCCCGCCAUUCUACGAGUCGGGACUGAAGUUUUUUCCGGUUUUUCUUACACGCCAGUGGUCUUCCUAGCCGCCCCUUUCUCGACGUCGGCAUGGAAGGCCGUCGUGUCCUUUGGAACUGCAGCAAGGUGUAGCCCUCAGGAUUUUAACAGCAGGUGCCGCUGCUAUAAUAUCCAGGGAAGUGUCGCCGUCCUGCUGCGAGAAUUUCCGGAAUCUAGCACCAUGACCCUGUGUCUGUGGUUCUUCCUGUUUUACGUGCUCUGCUGCGGCUUGUUGCUGCCUGUAUGUAUGCACGUCUUUCAUCCUAAUCCACGAGAGCUUAACCAUGAGCUCAUGCACUUUGACGUGAACCACAGCGUGGUCGCAGCUACUCUCUCAUACUUUGAUCGCUAUGUUGUUUGGCUCCUUAUAUAGGAGAAACAGGUGCGGUCGUGUCGAGUACUCUGCGUUCGACAUGCUUGCCACUGACAUCUCGUUCCCGCCCUUCGUGGGAUUUCCGGGGGUAUUCGGUUCAACCCAGUUCUCCCGACGCCCCGGUACAGGUCAGCGGAUAGACUCGCAGCCGCAGGCCUGGCCAGUUACACAAAAGCUGGUUUUCCGAUUUCACAGAGGGCUUUCCUUUACGAGGGCCUCUUCUGAUGGCAAUCCAACUUGCGGUUAGAACUUCUCCGAUUCAGUUACCGAGUGGGUCCUCUUUUCGUGGGUGUUACGCAUUCCGGCCCGCCAAACGAGGGGAGAUCUCAGAGGGAAGUCGUGGGCUUGAGAUAUAUAAUACGUACAUAUGUGUGCGUGUGUGUUGGAUCUAUAUGCACCAGACCAAUUUUAUGUAGCUGUGCGCCGACGGGUAAAUACACAUGCGUGCGCAUUGGCAUUGAUCAAGUUCGGACACGAUCGCUUACAUCCCGAGGGAAACUGCGCGUUCGCGCAUCGGUUCGCGCCGUUCAGCUUUUUCAGCAACGUUUCAUUAUUUUAAUCUCAGCGUUAGGACUGCCGCGUGCUAUUGUGGUAAGUGGAAACCUGUCGACGCGAGCCGAUGUGUUCGACGCGCCGAUGAGUAUUCACAAAAUUUCCUUACAGAAUCCGAAUGCGUAUAUUGCACCCUCAGCCAAGAGCAUUUCCUCUGGGGGAUGCACACGGGUGCGACCUCGUUACACCCUCAAGGGUAGACACCAAAUGUACAUGAGGAAUGCGCCGUUUUACUUCGUUUUCAAGGCGUUUUAUGAGGAAAUUACACACAGAUGGAGUCGAUGCAGGAGAAAACCAGGAGUGAUCCGAACUCACGGACAGAAGCCUCCUGGAACUCGUUAAUUACUGCUUUUGAUCCAACACUUUAAAAGGGAGAAUCUUUUGCAGUACCGCGCUUUGUAACGUGGCCCGGUCGCGAAGGGGGGGUCAACGUGUUUGCUGGGAGGCUGGUGGGAUAUGCGUACCUGUCGAACUGUGUUUUUUUCUUUUGUACAAUGACCAAAAGGCCGGUGAUCUGUGUCAAAUCCCAGGUGCCAAUUUCAUCGGCCUUCUCUGCGUGCGUGCGAUGUGGGGGAGUAACACCCGCUUCAGAACGAUAGUGUAAAACGUAGCACAGCUCUGUGCUUGUGAGGGCGUUGGAAUCCACGCGCAGUCAUGGCAAGGUGAGGUAUUCAUUGCGCUAACUGGAGUUCGGCACUUUCUCCUUCGAGAGGAACUUAACGCGUACA